rnacentral:rRNA from 1 species
GACGAACGCUGGCGGCGUGCUUAACACAUGCAAGUCGAACGGAAAGGCCCCUUUGGGGGUCCUCGAGUGGCGCACGGGUGAGUAACACGUGAGUAACCUGCCCUUGACUUCGGGAUAACUUCAGGAAACUGGGGCUAAUACCGGAUAGGAAUCCUUGCUGCAUGGUGGGGGUUGGAAAGCUUCGGCGGUUUUGGAUUGACUCGCGGCUUAUCAGCUUGUUGGUGGGGUAGUGGCUUACCAAGGCUUUGACGGGUAGGCGGCCUGGGAGGGCGACCGGCCACAUUGGGACUGAGAUACGGCCCAGACUCCUACGGGAGGCAGCAGUGGGGAAUAUUGCACAAUGGGCGGAAGCCUGAUGCAGCAACGCCGCGUGCGGGAUGACGGCCUUCGGGUUGUAAACCGCUUUCAGCAGGGGCGAAGCUUGUGGUGACGGUACCUGCAGAAGAAGCACCGGCUAACUACGUG